GGAGGAAAAGAAACCAACAGGGAUUCCCUUAGUAACGGCGAGUGAACAGGGAAUAGUCCAGCGCCGAAUUUCACGUUCUUUACGGACGUUUGAAAAAUGUGGCGUUCAGGAGGUCACGUGCCGAGGUUGGGCUCUGCAGCAAGUCCCCCUGACCGGGGCUGUUACCCAGAGUGGGUGCGAGGCCCAUAGCUGCUAAGUCUGCUUCGGAUGUGACCUCUUGGGAGUCAGGUUGCUUGGGAGUGCAACCCCAAUUGGGUGGUAAACUCCACCUAAGACUAAAUACGGCCGUGAGACCGAUAGCAAACAAGUACCGUGAGGGAAAGUUGCAAAGAACUUUGAAGAGAGAGUUCAAGAGUACGUGAAACUGCUCAGAGGCAAACAGGUGGGCCCUCGAAAUCCUCCGGCAGGGGGAUUCAGUUAGGAAAAGCUGAGGUGAUGUGUGGUUGUCUUAACGGACCCUCUCUGGGGACGGGCUACCAUCACGGUCUUGGCUUGACCUGACGCAUUUCCCCCUGCACAAGGACGCCGCAUCCGGUUGGGUAGCUGCGUGAGUCGGCCAUAAGAACAAGCAAGGAAGGUGGCCGGUGGUAUUGCUUCAGCUCUGCCGCCGGUUGUUAGACAGUUUGUUCGUGGCGCGACACCCGACUGAGGUUAAGUUGUUCCCUUAUGGGAACUAGCCGUCCCCUUCAACUCGGAGCGGAUGCUUCAGCAAGUGUUUCACGGUGUCGCUUCCUCACUCUUGUAGUGUGUGGUGCUCCGUGUUCCCUGGUGGCUGAAAGCUACCCGCGGGGGUACAUACGGCUAGCGGCGAGU
rnacentral:rRNA from 1 species